AGCUUAACGAGAUGAGCAACAACGGAGACCUCUGGGCAGUACAGGAGACCGGAAUCACAGUUGGUCAGUACAUCUGCGAAUACCUCGCUGACCAUUACUUUUUCUCGAUAAACAACCAUAAGGUAUACGGCUACAACGAGGUGUGUGGUGGUGCCUGGGAGUUCACAGGCGUGGAAUCACAACAGAUGUUAUGUUGUGACGGAGGAGAUCACGUUCACUGUAUUUCCGAAUAAAUUAUGGUGAUGAGAGUGAUGAUGGUGAUGAUGAAGGGUGACGAGCUCCGUAACGAUGAUGGUGACGAUGAUGGUGAUGAUUCUCUGUUGAAUUUUCAUCAUAUUUUUGUCGAUAUGAGUUCGGAAUAUGUGAAUCUGAUUGUGUAAUUUUUGUGAAUAAAAGUUGUGAUUAUG